rnacentral:rRNA from 1 species
UGGGGAAUUUUGGACAAUGGGCGCAAGCCUGAUCCAGCCAUUCCGCGUGCAGGAUGAAGGCCCUCGGGUUGUAAACUGCUUUUGUACGGAACGAAAAGGCUUUCUCUAAUACAGAGAGCUCAUGACGGUACCGUAAGAAUAAGCACCGGCUAACUACGUGCCAGCAGCCGCGGUAAUACGUAGGGUGCAAGCGUUAAUCGGAAUUACUGGGCGUAAAGCGUGCGCAGGCGGUGAUGUAAGACAGAUGUGAAAUCCCCGGGCUCAACCUGGGAACUGCAUUUGUGACUGCAUCGCUGGAGUGCGGCAGAGGGGGAUGGAGUUCCGCGUGUAGCAGUGAAAUGCGUAGAUAUGCGGAGGAACACCGAUGGCGAAGGCAAUCCCCUGGGCCUGCACUGACGCUCAUGCACGAAAGCGUGGGGAGCAAACNGGAUUAGAUACCCUGGUAGUCCACGCCCUAAACGAUGUCAACUGGGUUGUUGGGUCUUCACUGACUCAGUAACGAAGCUAACGCGUGAAGUUGACCGCCUGGGGAGUACGGCCGCAAGGUUGAAACUUAAAAGGAAUUGACGGGGGUCAUAGCUGUUU